UUUCCGUAGGUGAACCUGCGGAAGGAUCAUUAAAGAAUUUGCCCCGUCCUCUCGAGGAUGGGUCCUCUUCUAAACCGUGUAUACAUACCUUUGUUGCUUUGGCGGGCCGCCGUCUCGGCGCUGGCUUCGGCUGACUGUGCCCGCCAGAGAACCCCAACUCUUCUGUUUAGUAUUGUCUGAGUACUAUAUAAUAGUUAAAACUUUCAACAACGGAUCUCUUGGUUCUG
rnacentral:misc_RNA from 1 species